UACGAAGGGAGCUAGCGUUGUUCGGAAUUACUGGGCGUAAAGGGCGCGUAGGCGGCUUUGUAAGUCAGAUGUGAAAGCCCCGGGCUUAACCUGGGAACUGCAUUUGAUACUGCGAGGCUAGAGGAUGAGAGAGGAAAGUGGAAUUACGAGUGUAGGGGUGAAAUUCGUAGAUAUUCGUAAGAACACCAGUGGCGAAGGCGGCUUUCUGGCUCAUUACUGACGCUAAGGCGCGAAAGCGUGGGGAGCAAACAGG
rnacentral:rRNA from 1 species